rnacentral:snoRNA from 1 species
ACCCUGUAGGUGCUGCAGGGGUGGUCACUGUGUCACUUGUGCGUCAGUAGAUGACAGGGAGGAGAAAGGCUAUGGCUAUGUUCAGUGUUCUGACCUGUGAACAUCUGAAUGAUCAGUAUCCUGGAAAA